CACGCAACAGCAAAGGAGGCUGGGAGAUAUGCAGUUUUAACGUCCCAAACAAUUUGCCCAGCAGCAAAAUGGAGGUUUCCAUUUUAGUAAUUUAUUUCAAUAACGAAUAUUGGGGGACAGACUACAGUAUUUGCCACGCCACAUUUUAGAAGCAUCUCUGCAUCACUAUGAACACUUGGGAUGCUCGCCUUCGGACCUUCUGAAGCGAGGGUGGUUCUUUGAAUGACCUUCUGCCUGAGAAGUUCACCAAUUCCUGUCAUAGCUUCAUAUCCCUGAUCAAUGUGCUCAGAAAAGAGCAGAUGUGACCCCGGACACUGCACUGCAGACGUGGGUACUGGUUUUUUUAAAAGGCACCUCUGUCAACUUUGUUCCCGUGGACAUUCAUCUUUCCUUAAAAUUUCUAAAUUAAAAUUGAAGGCUUUAUGGAGA